rnacentral:rRNA from 1 species
CCUACGGGGGGCAGCAGUAGGGAAUAUUGGGCAAUGGGCGGGAGCCUGACCCAGCCAUGCCGCGUGCAGGAAGAAGGCGUUAUGCGUUGUAAACUGCUUUUAUACGGGAAGAAAAGGCCCAUGCGUGGGACAUUGCCGGUACCGUAUGAAUAAGCACCGGCUAACUCCGUGCCAGCAGCCGCGGUAAUACGGAGGGUGCAAGCGUUGUCCGGAUUUAUUGGGUUUAAAGGGUGCGUAGGCGGCCUUUUAAGUCAGCGGUGAAAGUCUGUGGCUCAACCAUAGAAGCGCCGUUGAUACUGAGGGGCUUGAGUGCCGUAUGGGUACAUGGAAUUGAUGGAGUAGCGGUGAAAUGCAUAGAUACCAUCAGGAACACCGAUAGCGUAGGCAUUGUACUGUGCGGCAACUGACGCUGAGGCACGAAAGCAUGGGUAGCGAACAGGAUUAGAUACCCUAGUAGUC